GCAGCUCCUUCACCUUUGAGGGAGCGGCAGUUAAGACUUGUAGUGAUGUUUAGAUAAUGUAUUACAUGAACAUCACUUUAAGUCUGUGCUACUUCUCUCCUCAUUCUUGUCGGCGGGAAG
rnacentral:pre_miRNA from 7 species